rnacentral:rRNA from 1 species
AAACAUGUCUUUUUGAGGUAAUUAAAAAGUCUAACCUGCCCACUGAAUUUUUAAAUGGCCGCAGUAUCCUAACUGUGCAAAGGUAGCAUAAUCAUUAGUCUUUUAAUUGAAGGCUGGAAUGAAUGGUUGGACGAGGUAUUAACUGUUUCAGAUAAAUUUUUUAUAGAAUUUUAUUUUUUAGUCAAAAAGCUAAAAUUUAAUUAAAAGACGAGAAGACCCUAUAAAUCUUUACUUAAAAUUUUAUUUUAAUUAUUAAGAUAGAUUUUAUUAUAAUAAUAUUUUAAGUUUUAUUGGGGUGAUAUUAAAAUUUAAUAAACUUUUAAUUUUUAGAAACAUAAAUUAAUGAAUAAUUGAUCCAUUAAUAAUGAUUAAAAAUUUAAGUUACUUUAGGGAUAACAGCGUAAUUUUUUUGGAGAGUUCAUAUCGAUAAAAAAGAUUGCGACCUCGAUGUUGGAUUAAGAAAAAUUUUAGGUGUAGCCGCUUAAAUAUUAAGUCUGUUCGACUUUUAAUUUCUUACAUGAUCU